rnacentral:rRNA from 1 species
UACGGAGGGUGCAAGCGUUAUCCGGAUUUACUGGGUUUAAAGGGUGCGUAGGCGGGCCCUUAAGUCAGUGGUGAAAGCUCCGAGCUUAACUCGGAAACUGCCAUUGAUACUAUAGGUCUUGAAUUCGGUCGAGGUUGGCGGAAUGUGUCGUGUAGCGGUGAAAUGCGUAGAGAUGUGGAGGAACACCGAUGGCGAAGGCAGCCUUCUGGGCCAACACUGACGCUCAUGCACGAAAGCGUGGGGAGCAAACAGG